rnacentral:rRNA from 1 species
AACAACUGGAAACGGUUGCUAAUACCCCAUAUGCUUUCGAGUGAAAUGGAUUUAUCCGCCUAGAGAGAAGCUUGCGGCUGAUUAGCUUGUUGGUGAGGUAAUGGCUCACCAAGGCGACGAUCAGUAUCUGGUUUGAGAGGACGAUCAGACACACUGGAACUGAGACACGGUCCAGACUCCUACGGGAGGCAGCAGUGGGGAAUUUUCCGCAAUGGGCGAAAGUGACGGAGCAAUCUCGCGUGAGGGAUGACGGCCUAUGGGUUGUAAACCUCUUUUUUCAGGGAGGAAUCAAUGACGUGUACCUGAAGAAUAAGCAUCGGCUAACUCCGUGCCAGCAGCCGCGGUAAGACGGAGGAUGCAAGUGUUAUCCGGAAUCACUGGGCGUAAAGCGUCUGUAGG